UACGUAGGGUGCAAGCGUUGUCCGGAAUUAUUGGGCGUAAAGAGCUCGUAGGCGGUUUGUCGCGUCUGCUGUGAAAACUCGGGGCUUAACUCCGGGCCUGCAGUGGGUACGGGCAGACUAGAGUGCGGUAGGGGAGACUGGAAUUCCUGGUGUAGCGGUGAAAUGCGCAGAUAUCGGGAGGAACACCGGUGGCGAAGGCGGCGAUCUGGGUCGAUACUGACGCUGAGGUGCGAAAGCGUGGGGAGCAAACAGG
rnacentral:rRNA from 1 species